rnacentral:rRNA from 1 species
UCUGCGAUUUCCGAAUGGGGAAACCCAACUGCAUAAGCAGUUACUGUUAACUGAAUACAUAGGUUAACAGAGCAAACCGGGGGAACUGAAACAUCUAAGUACCCCGAGGAGAAGAAAUCAACCGAGAUUCCGGUAGUAGCGGCGAGCGAACCUGGAUUAGCCCUUAAGCACUCGGUGAAGUAGGUGAACAAGCUGGAAAGCUUGGCGAUACAGGGUGAUAGCCCCGUAACCGACGCUUCAUCGAGCGUGAAAUCGAGUAGGGCGGGACACGUGAUAUCCUGUCUGAAUAUGGGGGGACCAUCCUCCAAGGCUAAAUACUCCUGACUGACCGAUAGUGAACCAGUACCGUGAGGGAAAGGCGAAAAGAACCCCUGUGAGGGGAGUGAAAUAGAACCUGAAACCGUGUACGUACAAGCAGUAGGAGCACCUUCGUGGUGUGACUGCGUACCUUUUGUAUAAUGGGUCAGCGACUUAUAUUCAGUGGCAAGGUUAACCGUAUAGGGGAGCCGUAGCGAAAGCGAGUCUUAACUGGGCGCUCAGUCUCUGGAUAUAGACCCGAAACCGGGUGAUCUAGCCAUGGGCAGGUUGAAGGUUGAGUAACAUCAACUGGAGGACCGAACCGACUAAUGUUGAAAAAUUAGCGGAUGACUUGUGGCUAGGGGUGAAAGGCCAAUCAAACUCGGAGAUAGCUGGUUCUCCCCGAAAGCUAUUUAGGUAGCGCCUCGGACGAAUACUACUGGGGGUAGAGCACUGUUAAGGCUAGGGGGUCAUCCCGACUUACCAACCCUUUGCAAACUCCGAAUACCAGUAAGUACUAUCCGGGAGACACACGGCGGGUGCUAACGUCCGUCGUGGAGAGGGAAACAACCCAGACCGCCAGCUAAGGUCCCAAAGUAUUGCUAAGUGGGAAACGAUGUGGGAAGGCUCAGACAGCUAGGAUGUUGGCUUAGAAGCAGCCAUCAUUUAAAGAAAGCGUAAUAGCUCACUAGUCGAGUCGGCCUGCGCGGAAGAUGUAACGGGGCUAAGCAAUACACCGAAGCUGCGGCAAUAUCUUUUAGAUAUUGGGUAGGGGAGCGUUCUGUAAGCCGUUGAAGGUGAAUCGUAAGGUUUGCUGGAGGUAUCAGAAGUGCGAAUGCUGACAUGAGUAACGACAAAGGGGGUGAAAAACCUCCUCGCCGGAAGACCAAGGGUUCCUGUCCAACGUUAAUCGGGGCAGGGUGAGUCGACCCCUAAGGUGAGGCCGAAAGGCGUAAUCGAUGGGAAACGGGUUAAUAUUCCCGUACUUCUGACUAUUGCGAUGGGGGGACGGAGAAGGCUAGGUGGGCCAGGCGACGGUUGUCCUG